GGUCCCGUAGCUCAGCAGGAUAGAGCAUCAGAUUCCUAAUCUGAGGGUCACAGGUUCGAAUCCUGUCGGGAUCGCCA
rnacentral:tRNA from 20 species